rnacentral:rRNA from 1 species
UACAGAGGGGGCAAGCGUUAUUCGGAAUUAUUGGGCGUAAAGGGCGCGUAGGCGGCUUGGCAAGUGGAUGGUGAAAUCCCUCGGCUUAACCGAGGAACUGCCGUCCAAACUGCUUCGCUUGAGACCGGGGAGAGGUGAGUGGAAUUCCCAGUGAGCGGUGAAAUGCGUAGAUAUUGGGAGGAACACCAGUGGCGAAGGCGGCUCA